rnacentral:rRNA from 1 species
CCUACGGGGAGCAGCAGUGAGGAAUAUUGGUCAAUGGACGAGAGUCUGAACCAGCCAAGUAGCGUGAAGGAUGACUGCCCUAUGGGUUGUAAACUUCUUUUAUAUGGGAAUAAAAUGUUCCACGUGUGGGAUUUUGUAUGUACCAUAUGAAUAAGGAUCGGCUAACUCCGUGCCAGCAGCCGCGGUAAUACGGAGGAUCCGAGCGUUAUCCGGAUUUAUUGGGUGUAAAGGGAGCGUAGGUGGAUUGUUAAGUCAGUUGUGAAAGUUUGCGGCUCAACCGUAAAAUUGCAGUUGAAACUGGCAGUCUUGAGUACAGUAGAGGUGGGCGGAAUUCGUGGUGUAGCGGUGAAAUGCUUAGAUAUCACGAAGAACUCCGAUUGCGAAGGCAGUUCACUGGACUGCAACUGACACUGAGGCUCGAAAGUGUGGGUAUCAAACAGGAUUAGAUACCCUUGUAGUC